rnacentral:misc_RNA from 1 species
GGCAUUGACAAUAAAAAGGCUUAAAUAAGCCCACAAAAUUAUAAAUAUACCCCGAUAAUGGUAAACAAAAAUAGAAAUAUGAGUGUUGUUAAGCAGUUACAAUUGGCUUCCCUCUGAAGCAUGGAGGUCAACUGGCUAAAAGAAAUCGAGAAUGUAGGCAAGAUAAAGGACUCUCCUUUAUUCUAAUUGGCUUAGGUCCAGAGUAGCAUUGCAUUCAGAUCACAAUCAACAUGUUUUGCUACUUUCCUCUUCCUUUUAUUAUCUUAUUGCUUUAUAUUACUCAGUCCUACCUUUGUCCUACACCAUUUUCUACAAAGUUCAGAAAAAUAUCAUCAUAAAACAACAUAAUUGUGGAAUAGAAGGGCAGAAAAAAAGGAGUUUUUUUUUUUUUUUUUUUUAAAGGGGGGGGGGGGGGGGGGAGGGUUUGGGUGGUGGUGGGUUCGAUUACCACUGAUGUGAUUAAGUCCAAGGUCUGA